AGAGUUUGAUCCUGGCUCAGAAUCAACGCUGGCGGCGUGCCUAACACAUGCAAGUCGAGCGAGAAAGUAGACUUCGGUCUGCGAGUACAGCGGCGCACGGGUGAGUAACACGUGGGUAAUCUGCCUCGGAGUGGGGAAUAACACCGGGAAACCGGUGCUAAUACCGCAUACGAUCACCGAAUCUUCGGAUUUUGUGAUGAAAGGAUUUAUUCGCUCUGAGAGGAGCCCGCGCCCGAUUAGCUAGAUGGUGAGGUAAUGGCUCACCAUGGCAAUGAUCGGUAGCUGGUCUGAGAGGACGGUCGGCCACACUGGAACUGAGACACGGUCCAGACUCCUACGGGAGGCAGCAGUGGGGAAUUAUUGACAAUGGGGGAAACCCUGAUCAUGCAACGCCGCGUGGAUGAUGAAGUAUCUCGGUACGUAAAAUCCUUUCGACAGGGAAGAAACCUUCGGGUUGACGGUACCUGUAGAAGAAGCCCCGGCUAACUCCGUGCCAGCAGCCGCGGUAAUACGGGGGGGGCAAGCGUUGUUCGGAUUUACUGGGCGUAAAGGGCGCGUAGGCGGUUUGUUAAGUCGGAUGUGAAAACUGUGGGCUCAACCCAUAGCCUGCAUCCGAUACUGGCAGACUAGAGUGCGAGAGGGGAAGGCGGAAUUCCUGGUGUAGCGGUGAAAUGCGUAGAUAUCUGGAGGAACACCGGUGGCGAAGGCGGCCUUCUGGAUCGCAACUGACGCUGAGGCGCGAAAGCUAGGGGAGCAAACAGGAUUAGAUACCCUGUAGUCCUAGCCCUAACGAUGGAUACUUGGUGUGGGGGGAGUUGAAUCUCUCGUGCCGGAGCUAACGCGUUAAGUAUCCCCGCCUGGGGAGUACGGUCGCAAGGCUGAAACUCAAAGGAAUUGACGGGGGCCCGCACAAGCGGUGGAGCAUGUGAUUUACUUCGACGCACGCGAAGAACUUACCUGGGCUCGAACGGCUAGUGCCAGUUGGUGAAAGCUAAUGUUCUCUUCGAGACACUAGCCGAG
rnacentral:rRNA from 1 species